AUUGAACGCUGGCGGCAGGCCUAACACAUGCAAGUCGAACGAGUGGCGGACGGGUGAGUAAUGUCCGGGAAACUGCCCGAUGGAGGGGGAUAACUACUGGAAACGGUAGCUAAUACCGCAUACCAUCGGAUGUGCCCAGAUGGGAUGGGCUAGUAGGUGGGGUAACGGCUCACCUAGUCGACGAUCCCUAGCUGGUCUGAGAGGAUGACCAGCCACCCUGGAACGUAGACACGGUCCAGACUCCUACGGGAGGCAGCAGUGGGGAAUAUUGCACAAUGGGCGCAAGCCUGAUGCAGCCAUGCCGCUUGUAUGAAGAAGGCCUUCGGGUUGUAAAGACCUUUCAGCGAGGAGGCGUUACUCGCAGAAGAAGCACCGGCUAACUCCGUGCCAGCAGCCGCGGUAAUUC
rnacentral:rRNA from 1 species